CCUCGCUUCUCCCGAGCCCUCAUGAGUGAAAUGGCGGCAGCGGCUGGCUUGGUUGUGGAAUUUUUUGGGUGCUUUUCGUCUGGCCCCUCACAGGCUGCUGACUCCAGGGCACAGGGGGCCUGCGGGUGCUGGAGCGUCCUUGGCAGCUACCACUGCUCUGAUCUCCCGCCCUUAUUCAAUAUGAGACAGCUGGGGAUGUUCAGCCCGGAGAAGAGGAGAGACUUCAGAGUCCCUUGCAGUGCCUAAGGGGGCUGAAAGAGAGCUGGAGAGGUAUUUUGGACAAGUGCCUGGUGUGGCAGGACAAGAGAGAAUGGCUCCCAUUCAGAGGGUGGGGCUGGAUGGGAUAUUGGGCAGGAAUUGUUCCUGGGAGGGUGGGCAGGCCCUGGCACAGAGUGCCUAGAGCAGCUGGGGCUGCCCCUGGGAUCCCUGGAAGUGCCCAAGGGCACGUUGGACACUGGGGCCUGGAGCAGCCUGGGAUAGUGGAAGGUGUCCCUGCCCAUGGCAGGGGGUGGAAUGGGAUGGGCUCUAAGGUCCCUUCCAGGCCCAAACCAUUCCCUGAUUCUAUGAUUCCCCCUGGAAAGGUGCCCCAGGCACCUUCCAGCCAUCCCUCCUUGGCUCCUCUGUGUCUGGAUUUCUUUCCCUUCUUCAGGGUUUCGCAUGUUGUUCUCUGAUUCCUCACCUCUAUAAGAUCACCUUCACUCUCCUGUGUCUUCCUCUCCACAGGCUUUCAGCCCCUGUUCUCCAUUUUUCUCUGGUUCACCCCUGCCUCUCUAAACACAUGCCCCAGCUCUGUUCCAAGGCUUUGCUCAUCAGCCCUUUCUGAUCCCUCAUCUUUGGGUUUGUGGCUCCAUCACCCAGACUUGAGGGCUCCUGUAUUGCUCCAUUGACAGUAUCCUUCUAGAUAACUCUUUACUUUCUGUGGUGUUUCCUUAUGCUCUCCUUGGUCUUCCUGGUGUCCUGUUCCUUGAUGCUUUUGUCUUUGUUCCAAAUGUCAUUUCCUCCUCUGAGGAGGAAUAAUAUCCACUGUCUAGAGCAGUUUGCCCUCUUUGGAAUUCCCUUCUGGCCAUUUGGAGAAGGACUCACCCUUGCCGCUUCACUCCCAUGGGAGUCACCUUCCCUGAGGUUACCUGUAACUUUUGUUCUUGUUCUGCCUCUGCUGUCAUUUCACUUGUGAGGUGAAUUAUGUCACCUGGAGCAUGUUUGUCUCUAGUUGUGCUGCAGAAAGAUCACCCUCAUUUACAUUCCCAGUGACGUGUAUAAGAACUCUUUCUGGAUUUCUGGAGGACAGUGAAGAAAACACCAGGCAUGGCUGUGUGAGCCCUGAAGCAGCACUGCCACCAGCAGCACAAUGGCUGAGGAACGUGUUGGUUCAGACUUCUCUGCACUGAGCUGCUCUAAUUAAAUGAGCCACACAUAAUCAGUUGCAGAUAGAUGUGGAAAAGUUUUAAUUCAAUUUAAAUGUGCGGUUGUUGUAAGUUGUUAUUGAAGCCAAUUUAUCCCUUACUCUUCUUUGGUUUCUCUUUUCCUUCAUGUAUUAAUGACCUCUGUAAAUAUCCCCCCCCAGAUGUUUGUUGUGCAGCAGCCACCAUCUAUUAGCCUAGCUGAAAUAAUCUCCUUUAAAAUUUAUCAGCAGGUAAAAGAUUUAACAGAAAAACAACAAAAUGUGAGGAAGCAAGCCAGAAGCUUUCCUGGUUGCCAGGAGUCAUCUUUAUUUCAAGCUCAUAAUUUAUGAAGCUUGUGGUUGUGUGUGGUUUUAUUCUGGUCGUGAAUAAAUUUGUAGCAUAGUUGUAUCUGUCCAGUGAGCUGUUGGUGUGAAAAAUACCUUGUCAGACUGUCAGUUAGACAAUAUUAAUUACAUUUAUUAUAACUUUUCAAUCCCCAUUUUCCAGGAAGAUAUUAAGCAGUAGUAAAACACACAGUAAACACGCUGAUUAAUUUACUUUUUUUGUUUCCCCAACAGCUUAGGAAAAGCACCUAGUUUUUUGAUACUUUUGAAUGUUUGACAAAACCUACCACUCACUAUGGCACUAUGUGUGGUAGUAUGAACUAGCAAUGAGGAGUUUUGAAGAGCCUGAUGUGUGCUUUAAUAAUGUUAUUGGAGAGUGGUUUAUUGGUCUUGAGAUCAAGCAUUCCAGCCACAAACCCAGAGAACGGAUCAGGAACAGCCCUGGGGGAAGCACUUGUCCUGUUGGUGGGUGAGAGGCUCAGCCUGCCCCGGCCAUGGGCACUGAACCAGAAAGCCCCCUGUGCUGGGCUGAGCCCCCAGCGUGGGCAGCAGGGGAGGGAGGGAUUCUUCCCCUCUGCCCCUGGGCUCAGGUGAGACCCCACCUGCAGAGCUGCCCCAGCCCUGGGCAACAACAGCAGGAGGAUGUGGAGCUGGUCAGUGUGAGACUGUGCUGGCUGCUGUGUCACAUGUGUGUGGCUGUCCAGUGGUACUGCUGAUGGCUGGGAUAUUUUGCUCCUUUUUCCAACAAUAUGGUUUGUGUUUACAUGCUGAACACUUUUCUGAAUAGCUGGGGUGUGUUAAGAAUGUCUGCUCAUAUGACCCACAUUAGCUAUGGCUCUCAAAGGGGUUAACUUCAGAAAUACCAGUCAUCCAGUCAGGAGCUUGUUAGGUGUUAGAGUAGUCAGGAGACCAUGUCCUCAGCACCUGUGCAGGUGCUCCCCCAGCAGGGACGUGGAUUGGCCUGAGCUGUGGCAUGGCUUCAGGGAUGAAUCACUGACCUCUCUGUGCAGGCUGAACCCCACCACGUUUUGGAGUGGCUGUGGCGGGCAGCAGGUCAGAUCCCACCAGGGAGGGUGAGCAUGACCAUUCCUGACCAUUGGUCAGAUCUGACCAGGCUGUGGUGGAGCCCUGCCAGGCUGCCAGUGGGUUCAGCCCUCCUUGGAGCAGUAGGUCUGCAGCUGAGGACUCUUCCUGUGGAUUGGGAUGCCCAAGGGAGUUCCUGGAGGCUGAAAGCCCUAGCCUCAGUGUGUGAGGGAUUCUGUAUCUGAACUAAGUGUUCUAAAAUCUUCAGAGUUCUCAGUUGGGCAGCACCAGCUCUGACAUCAUGAAUUUGUAUUCAAAGGCUGGCUAAGCCUAAAUUGAUUUAUCUGCUUUAAAUGGCUUACAAAAUAAAUAUAAAUUUAAUAUAUUAUUUCAUAGCAUUGUAGAUUCAUCGAAUCUCCUGAAUAGGAAGGGAGCAAAUGGAUCAUCAAGUCCAACUCCUGGCCCUGCACAGGACACCUCAACUAUUUCCCCCAGGGGAUUGCUGUCCAAAUACUCCUGGUGCUCUGGCAGCCUAGGGCCUGUUACCAUUCCCUUGGGAACCUGUUCAGUGCCUGACUACCCACUAGGGGAAGAACCUUUCCCUAAUAUCCAGUCUAAACCUCCUCUGGCAAAAUUUUAUAAGAUUCCAUGGCAGAAGCCAAGCACAACCUCUCAAAAAUCUCCCACAAGAACAGCUUGGAUAUGCUGCAGAUCACUGGAGCUCCUGGGAAAAAUUCAUCCCCAGCUGAAGCUGAGGCACAUCAGCCCCCAUGAUCAUGUGUGAGCACUCAGCUGUGGCCCAGACUGAUGCCAAAUGGCCCCCGGCUCCUCCAGCAUGGCCUUCAGAUGGUGUCACAUCCCAGUAUGGUGCUGACAGGUGUAGGCAAGACUGGGGGUUGCACGGUCGGGACGGACGGAGACCAGAUCUAUGAAGCCAGGUCGUGGAACUUGCGGUUUAUUGCAAAGGGCGUAGGUACAGGGCCCUGCUGGAAGCUGCCAGCUGCAGCUCGGAGCAGGCCCGAGAGAAGAGAGAGGAUGAGAGGGUAAGAACGUAAAAGGCAAGAGCUAAGAGCAUAGAAAAGUAAGAGCAAGAGAGCAAGAGUAUGAGAGCAAGAGCAAAAGCAAGAGAACAAGAGAGCAAAGUUCCCGUUGCAAUACAAUAAAUCAUCUUCUGUGUUGAAUAUUCUGAUUCUCACUAACCAAUCUAGUAGAGCAUACAAAUCCUAUAGCAUCUACAUACAGCCUAUAAGAAUCACUACGUUACCAUAUUGUGCUACAUUUUAAACCCUAGAAACUACUCUUCAGACCCCUUCUGCCAAGCUGGCAGGGUCUGUUCUGACCUGCCUGCUUGCAGAGGGUCUUGUAUCAUCAAAAGGGGAUUACCUUCAGCCGGCCACACCAUUGUUUUCCUGUUGUUCAGUAACUAAGGGAUGUCAAAGCUUGCUUUCAUUUCAAUGUCGCUUGUGGUUUCUAUAUUCUCAAAAUCUUUUGCCAGGGAUUCAUAUUUGUUAGGCUUUCCUGUUUCAUCUUCCCCAACAGACAGGCCCUUUCCAUCCUUCCUCUUCAGCUUGCUGAGCUGGCUGUGAUGUGGGUAACUGUCACCUGUCUUAUAUGACAAUUAUAUGAUAAUUAAUUGUCCUGUACUGUUGGUCUGCUGUGUCCCAACAUGAGCUCUCGUUUUGGUCAGAGUUCAGCAGUGGAAUGCGUGCGUUGCCGCUGCGGCCUGGAGGAUUGGGGUGGGAAAAGGUACAAUGGAGUUUGAACCAGGAAUUACCCUGCUCAUUAGAGGUUACCCACACUUCAAGAUUUGGUUUAUUUGAAGGGCUAAAUUUGAUAAUAAACUGAAGCCAAGGCUCUGAUGUAGACUCAGAUUUCUUUUCAAAUGACAGAAUCCUGUAUCUUGGGAGGAUGGAAAGCUGUCAGGGUUUAAAGACUUACAGCACAGUGCUUUUUGAGUUUAUGGAUUUUUGGGUGUACAAAUUCUUCAGUUUUGAAGUCUCUUUACAAGGCAUGAUGAUUCUUGUUUCUGUCUUCAAGGUUCUUCUUAUUAAUGGAAACUAAUGUUUGCAAUUAUUACAGUAAUACUAGUAUCAGAUUUUUAAAUGUUUUGUUUUAAAUGUAACUUUUUGCUAGUGACUGAAUUUCAAUAAAUUCUGAAGCUAGAAGAAGUAACUUUUAACGUAACUUCACCUUUGCAGCUAAAUAACUAAGCAUGGAAACAAAUGGCUCUAUAAAAUGUUUGUAAAAUCUUUGCAAAUGUUAACUUUUUUAAAAUAAAAGCUCUAUUAUUUGAAUGUUGAUGUGAACCAUGGCCUCAGAAUAGAAUAUGCAUGAGAGAUGGAGGUACAGCAAGAGGAGGAAUGCUCUGAUAGUUUUCUGUCUUCCUUGGUAAGGAGAGAACAUAUGAUGUGAUAAAGGCUUUUAGAGCACAUUCUUAAAUCAGUUUUUCUCAUGCAAUUUAACAGCAUCAUUUUAGGGACCUUGCUCUGUUGGCUGUUACAACAAAUGGACCUUAAUGCUUUUCCUUCCUUCAGUUUUGGGUUUCUACAUGAGCUUCCCCACUGCCAUGACCCAGCUGAUCUGGAUGGUAUGGUUUUAAUUUAAAUCUAGCACGUGAAAUAUUCAUAUUUUAUGAUUGGCUUUUUGCAAAUAUUAAAAUGAAUAUUAUAUGUGUUGUGUUAGAAAGUGAUGCUGUAUUAAUUCUCUUAAGUAGUGUAUUAGAUAUAGUUCUAGGUUAUAACAAAAUGUUAAAAUAGAAACUAUGCUAUGUAAGAUACUUUUUUAAAGAAAGGACUCACGCUGAGAUGGCAGCCACAGGACACCUGAAUCUUUCAGAGAAAGAGAAUUUAUUGCCCAGUAUCAGAAGAAAUGAACUUCUUCCCACCUCACUCAGCCCUGAAGACACCAUUAGGAUUCAGAGGAAGAUGACACUGCCCAGACAGAAUCCUGUGUUUGAAUGGAAUUUAUGCAUCAUGUAUGAGAUGUAUGAAUAUGCAACAGGUUAUGGUUUUUAAGGGUUAAUCCUCUGUUAACGUGGGUCCUUUUUUGUGCUGCCCAGAAAAAGGUACCUGGACAUCCAUAAUUCUUUGUUUCUAUUGUCUCAUAUUGUCCUAAUCCAAAUUGUCCAAAUUAUUAUUACUCUAGUUAUAUUACUCUUUUUAUAACCAUUUUAUUACUAUUAAACUUUUAAAAUUUUAAAA